rnacentral:rRNA from 1 species
GACGAACGCUGGCGGCGUGCCUAAUACAUGCAAGUCGAGCGAGCUUGCCUAGAUGAAUUUGGUGCUUGCACCAAAUGAAACUAGAUACAAGCGAGUGGCGGACGGGUGAGUAACACGUGGGUAACCUGCCCAAGAGACUGGGAUAACACCUGGAAACAGAUGCUAAUACCGGAUAACAACACUAGACGCAUGUCUAGAGUUUAAAAGAUGGUUCUGCUAUCACUCUUGGAUGGACCUGCGGUGCAUUAGCUAGUUGGUAAGGUAACGGCUUACCAAGGCAAUGAUGCAUAGCCGAGUUGAGAGACUGAUCGGCCACAUUGGGACUGAGACACGGCCCAAACUCCUACGGGAGGCAGCAGUAGGGAAUCUUCCACAAUGGACGCAAGUCUGAUGGAGCAACGCCGCGUGAGUGAAGAAGGGUUUCGGCUCGUAAAGCUCUGUUGGUAGUGAAGAAAGAUAGAGGUAGUAACUGGCCUUUAUUUGACGGUAAUUACUUAGAAAGUCACGGCUAACUACGUGCCAGCAGCCGCGGUAAUACGUAGGUGGCAAGCGUUGUCCGGAUUUAUUGGGCGUAAAGCGAGUGCAGGCGGUUCAAUAAGUCUGAUGUGAAAGCCUUCGGCUCAACCGGAGAAUUGCAUCAGAAACUGUUGAACUUGAGUGCAGAAGAGGAGAGUGGAACUCCAUGUGUAGCGGUGGAAUGCGUAGAUAUAUGGAAGAACACCAGUGGCGAAUGCGGCUCUCUGGUCUGCAACUGACGCUGAGGCUCGAAAGCAUGGGUAGCGAACAGG